rnacentral:rRNA from 1 species
UAUGGAGCAAGCGUUAUCCGGAAUUACUGGGUGUAAAGGGAGCGUAGACGGAUUUGCAAGUCUGAUGUGAAAGGCGGGGGCUCAACUCCUGGACUGCAUUGGAAACUGUAGAUCUUGAGUGCCGGAGAGGUAAGCGGAAUUCCUGGUGUAGCGGUGAAAUGCGUAGAUAUUAGGAGGAACACCAGUGGCGAAGGCGGCUUACUGGACGGUAACUGACGUUGAGGCUCGAAAGCGUGGGGAGCAAA